GCACCAGUAGCUCAGCUGGAUAGAGUAUCUGACUACGAAUCAGGGGGUCGCAGGUUCGAAUCCUGCCUGGUGUACCA
rnacentral:tRNA from 1 species